AUGGCUCUUCAUACCAGUUUUGCUUCGCAGUCCCAGGUGCGGGCUCAUGCUAUUCGCACUGCGCUUGGGGAGGUGAAGCUUAAUGAUCUCACUGUCACCGACUACUUCAACAAGGUGAUGGCAUGGCAGACACCCUUGCCUUUAUCGGCAAGGCCCUUCUUUUGGAGGAGUUCACCUCCUCUGUGCUCAAUGGACUAG
rnacentral:rRNA from 1 species